GCCUCGCGGGUGAGUGAGCGCCGGGCUCUGGCCCCAGGGCGUGCAGAGGCCGGGGCGGCGGCGGCCCGCCCCUGUCGUCUGCUCCCCGGGGCCUGGAGUUGUCCGGGUCGCCUUUCCGUGAGAGCCCCUCAGGUGCCCGAAGUUAGCUGGCCCUGGACCGGGGUUGUGAAGCAGUAGAUCCGCGGGAGGGUACGCAGUGUUGGGGGAGACGCCAGAAUGACAAGGAGGAGCCCGGGACACAGCUUUCUUUUUUCGUGUUCCUGGGAUGAUCUUUGGACCCAGAACCUUUGCCCUGAGCUACAUCUCAAGCCCUUUAAAAAAUUUUUUUUUGUUGUGAGAGAGGGUCUCACUAAAUAAUGUAGUCGCCCAGGGUCGGCUCGAAUUUGCCAUUCUCCUGCCUCGGCCUCCCAGCGUGCUGGGAUUGCAUAUGUGCGCCACUAUGCCCAGUUUGGAGCGCAGACUUUACCAAUGUAGGCAUAUUCUGAUGUAAUGCUGAGAGCUUAUUUUUUAUGGAUGUGAGAGAAAGGAAAAGGAUAUAAAAGAUGGCAAGUCCAGAUGGAAGUAAGCGGAAGAUAUUAAAAGCCAAAAAAACAAUGCCUACAAGCUGCCGGAAGCAAGCAGAGAUCCUGAAUAAGGCAAAGACUACUGAAGUUCUGAAAACAACAACAGUUGAGAGUAAUGUUCCAAGUGGUUAUCAGAAUUUAAGUACUGAAGUCAUAACUAGAGACUGCAGACAUCCUGAUACUGUUAAUUCUUCAUUGGACUGUAAGAUAAAUUCAGCACUGUUACUAAAAAGUAUAGGAUUCCCUCAGAAAUUAAUAAAACCUGUAGAAAAAAUUGUUCACUUAGAAACAAGAUUUGAACAUAGUGGUGAACAAGUUGUAAGUUCUUACAAGAAGCCAAGAAAAUCAAUAGAUUCUCCCAGCCAAUUCUUUAUACAAGAAGUGAAAGAGAAAUUCAGUACUUCUGAAACUCAUUUUGAAUAUAAGGCAAAUGUAACGUCAUCCUUUUUUCAAAAUGAACAGAAUUCUAAUCUGAAAUCCAUUUGUCAUUCACCUACUAUUUUGUGUGAUGUAGUUCAAAAUCUCUUGGAUGAUAAUAGAAGCAACAAGAUACCUUCCAAUUUAGAAGCAAACUCCAAUUCAGAGUCACAUGAUAAAAGGCAAAAUGACAUUUUAAGUUCAAACUCAUGUUGUGUGCCGGCUGCGAAAACGCCUAACUUGAUGAAUUUAGGUAGUUCCAGCAAGUGUGCUUCUAACAUUUUGAAAACGAAAGAAUCGACUAGAACCCUAUACUCCAGCAUUUCAGAUUGUGAAAAUACAGACUCAAAGUGGCAGUGCUUACUCAACACUGAUGGUAAUAACAGCUGUAAUCAAAAGAAGAUGUUUUCAGAAAACAAAGAAAAUGUUAAGCAUGUGAAAACGUCAGAGCAAAUUAAUGAAAAUACUUGUGUAGCUCUGGAAAGGCAAGCAGCAGUGCUGGAACAGGUCAAACAUUUGAUUGAACAGGAGAUCUGUAGUACAAAUUUCAAACUAUUUGAUAAAAAAGUGAAAGAAUUGAAUGAACGCAUUGGGAAGACACAGUGCAGGAGAAAACAUGAAGCAAUAGCUGGUGAACUCUUUACAAGAAUAGCAAGACUUCAAAGACGUGUUAAAGCAAUCUUAGCAUUUCAAAGGAAAUAUUUGGAAUCAAAUACAUUUUCCAGUAAUACCCCCUUUAAGAAUGGAAAUUCAGAGACCAUGACUUUGGGUAAGAAUCAAGAGUCAGUUAAUAGCCAAAAGGAAAGAAUGACUUCUGUGUACUGUGAACCUUUCAGCCCUUCAGAAAAAGCAAGUGAAAAAAUUAAUUUGUCAUCGGAUGGUGUUGAGUUUGUUUCUGAAAGUAACAGUGAUGAUGUUAUGUUGAUUUCGGCAGAGAGUCCUAAUUUGACAGCUCCAGUUACAGCAAGUCCAACAGAUUCUAGAACAAUUACAUCAACAAAUUCCAGCAGUUCAUCUAAUAAUAUAAUUGAAGUUAGGACUCCAGAGAAGAAAUGUGAUUUUGUUAUUGAUUUGACAAAAGAAGGCCUGUGCAACUACAAUACAGAAAGUCCACCGUUCACCCUGGAAUCACCUUCUAAGCCUGCUUUAAACUCAAAAGAAAUAACCCCAGUGGCAGAAAAUGUAACUGAGGUACUAACACGAAGUGCUCUGUAAGGACAUUCAUUCCAAACUGAGAGGAUUUGGAUUCCUUUGAGCACCUGCCACCUCUCCCAGAACCAUCAUCGCCACUGCCUGAACUCCUUUACGGGGACACGCUCCCUCCCCAGAAGCCCGAGCUGAAAGUGAAGUGGGUGCUGAGACCCAUGGGCAUCGCCCUAACCUGGAACAUCACCAAGAUCGACCCCAGGUGUGCUCCUGUGGAAAGCUACCACCUCUUCCUGUGCCAUGAGAAUGCCAAUAAUAAGUUGAUUUGGAAGAAAAUCGGAGAAAUUAAAGCUUUACCACUCCCAAUGGCCUGUACUUUAUCAGAAUUUUUUGCUUCCAAUAGAUACUAUUUUGCUGUCCAGUCAAAAGACAUUUUUGGGCGUUAUGGACCAUUUUGUGACGUAAAAUCAGUCCCUGGUUUUUGUGAUAACUUGACCUAAAAGUCUUCAGGAAUUAUAUGUUGUAUAUGAAAUAUUCUGUUUUUCGUAUUUGAGUUGUUCACAUUACUCUUAACACUAUUUACCAUUUCACAAGGUCAGAUUGUGAACCCUUUGGGGACAGUCCUCUUCCUUUUACUGUAAUUAGCUUGUAGUUUCAUGAAUUUCUGACUUGCUUGAACUUCCAAUGUGUGUGUUCUCAAACAUACUGUCGUGGGCCUAUGUUGCUAAGGUGUCUGGGAUACAAGCAGCGAUUUUGUCUUCUGUCAACAGUCAGCUUUGGUGACCUGCUUGUGGUCAGUGUAGCUGUAAGAAAAAUUGUCCCUUAAAGUCUUCACAUUCUGUUAGAAUUCUAGGUAGGCUACGGACCUGUGCCCCUCUUUUUUAUUUAUUUUAGUUUACUUUAUGUCAUGCAUUUGGAGAAGUAGUCUAAAAUUUUUGCUUAAGACUGCUUGUGUGCUUAUGUAUGAAAUGUGUUAAACAUUGUGUGCUGUGUACACAAAAACAUACACUAUCUCAUAAAAACACUGUUCGAUCUGGAUUUAAGUUGUAGUUGUCUGCUGUCUUUGCACUUGUUUUGGCUGCCAUCAAGGACUCAAAAUAUAACACUGAAAGGUUCUAAUGGACUAGUCUUGCAGACUGCUUCCUUGGGGGAAUACCAAGGUAAAGCUCAGGAAACCGGUUUGAGAAUUGUAAGGGCCCAAGGGAGAAGGACGUUGUGGAUGGCUAAUAACUGGAAUGUUACAAAAAUAGAAAAAUCACUGUUUGAAAGUGGGGUGUUCUUUCCUGAUACAUAGUAAAAGUUGUGAACUUUAAAAAUGAACAGUAAAUGGUUUUCCUAGCAUUUUGUGAAUGUGUUCACAUCUAGAGUCAUGAAUAAGGCUAUUCUUUUGCCCGCCUUCCGUGUCUCUACAGAACAUGUCUGAAAGAGCCAGAUUCUGAAACACAGACAAGGUGUUCAUCCUGAGGUGAGGUACACGAGACCUUAACUCACUAAGUGAAGGCCAGCGACUUGACUCUAUGACCAGAUUCUGGAACCCCUCACCAACAGAAACUACACUCACCCCAGCGGGCCACAUGGACAAGUUCAAAGCAAUGAGCUUGUACGUUAGCAGGAUAAGAGGGGGCUGACAGCAGACAUCUGAGAGGGGAUGGCUCACAGUAUUAAUCCUUACCUUUCAAGGAGUAAGAAUAAUGUUCUCAACUGCCAGGUACUAAUGACACCAGAAAAUAGCUGGCCUGAGGCAGAGUGCUCCCCUCCUGCACAGUCAGUGCAGAGAAUUAGCUCAGCCUAGAAAGGCUUCCUGCACCUGUAGUAUGGUGGGAAGCCUUUAUUCUUCCAUUGAGCAGUAGGACCACAUUGGUGAGCUGAACACUGAAUAUGCUGAGAAAAGUUGGUGAGUAGCUCAUGGAAUCAGAUUCAGGCUUGGGAAACAGGCUGGACAGGUGCAUGUUUUGCAAUAACUCCACGAGGUUUCAGACCUGGGAUAGUUUUAUACAAUUCAUAUUUUAACAAGACAUGAUGACACGAGAUGUUUUAUGCCAUUUUAAAGAUGGUUGCUUAGACGCCUUCACCAAGGCCAUAGAAACCCAACAAAUAAGUUGAAGCAAGAUUCAAACCCUGCUCUAGUUCCUCGGCUCAGGAUGGGUCCACCAUCUUUACUGCCUGAGGGAUUGGAUGGAUCCAACAGAAUUCACACAGUUCUUGACUGCCUUGCUAUGUGGAAAUCGAGAAACUCCAGGAAAACAAACCCUCUGGCAUUUUUGUCUUCAAUGAGAGGUGUACUCAGCCAUUCUGAGACUCAGGGUGGGUGUGAUGGUACUUUUCUGUGUCCCUAUACCUAAGCUGUGGCCACCUCUCCAGGAUUUUCACGGACCUGCAGCUCUAGCAGCUGCUGUAAGAGCUGCCCUCAGCCUACCCAUGUAACAGGAUUGUCACUGCUCUGUGCUUUCCCCGCAGUCCACUGUGCUGCUGAUGGAGUGAGAUGCGGACCUGAAUCCAGCUUCUCCCUACUCAUCCGCAGCAGCCUUCCUCUUGCUGCCUGGCUGCCCUGUGGUGACUCCAGCCUCCCCACAGGACACACAGGAGCAGUGUACAUGGCCGUCAGCUCACAGGGCCAUGUGUAACGCCACAAGGAAUUCCUGGCUCUAGCUUCAUUGGUUCCCUUGCUGACAGGAAGAGCCCCCUGUCUCUGGGGGAUUGAGCGGGGCAGUAGAUUGCCAGGCUAUCCUGUAAGCACCCUUUCUCACCCUGAAAGCCAGUCCCAUCACUGAAAUGUGGCUUAGCAACUCAUUUCUUUCUCACUGUGCAAAGUGAAGGCAGUACUGCCCUGCGGUUUAUAGCAGCCUGCCUGCUUACCUCUGCUGUCCCUCUUCUUUCUCCCAUUCUCACUCUCUUUCCUUGUUUAACUGGUUCUGCCAGUGAGACUCAGGGCCCUGAUGAAAGGCCAUCUUGUAAGGAAGACGAACAUAGUAAAUUCUAUCAUUUUGUGUCUCAACAUCCAACAGAAAAGUAAGUUGGAGUUUCUCAGGCCAGAGCUUCCUAAACUUUGCUUCUGGUCCCAGUUCUCCACCUCCUACCAGUGGCCCGCGGUGGCCCCUUCAGACAGCUGUCCUCUGCAGCCACCACCUACAGUUGCUAUGGAGUAAAUAUUCAACCCCCUUGGGUCCCCCUAGUGGGGGCUUCCAUCACCACGUGGUCUCUACCAAUGUACUGCAGGGACCACCUCUUUCUUGGUAACAGCACGAUCCCAUGGAACUUACUCGUUCACUUGCUCUAAACUCACAAAUAGACCUCCUGAAGGGAACCUCUUCAAUACCUGGAUCCCCAUAAAGGCUUCAGUUCCAUUUCUUUUGGAUCUUCCCAACAGCCCUGCUAGGCACCCCUCUCAGAUCCAUGAGUAAUAAAGUGCUUCUGUAUAUUACAUACUUCACUGUGAUGCCUCUCUG
ensembl:lincRNA